GCCUUCGUCGCCCAACCGGUAUAGUGGGUAGCAACGCUGACGCCGUAGGUGCUGGGUUCGAAUCCCAGAGAGGGCA